GGCAGGGAUAUUGCAGAUGAGAUCCAACUAUUGAAUUGUAGAUUGGACCUGACAGUCCUAAAGUCCCUUCCAAACCUGUGAUUCAGUAUCAUUAGCCUAAAAGUACUAAAGCUAGCAUAUAAUCUCUGGACAUGGAAGCCAGGCUGAGAGAGCAGAGUGUGGAAUAUGGAUUCUGAACCAGAGGGAACCCUUCAAUUCACAUAAUCUCAGAACAUCAUAGCCAGAGGGGGCCUUGGCCCAGGUCCCUGGGCCAACUGUCAAACUCCCCUCCCAACAAUUACCAUUGUGCUAAUUAGGACAGCCCCAGCAAUCUGAAAAAGAAGAAUUUCAAGGACUGUUCUGGCUCUGAAUAUCUGGAAAAAGGUGCAUCUUGGUGGCUCCUGGAGUAGACCAGUCGGGGAGGAAGUUCUAGGAGGGACUCUUACAGAGACCAGCUGGACUAGAGCUUCUCUUGACUCCAAAGACACUUGACCUCAAAUUUAGCUUGGUCACUUAACAAGGCUGUUGGGAGAAACAAUUCACUUCAAAACUUAACCAGUGAAACACAUGUACAUGCUAUCAACUGGUGAGCAAUGGGCCAAACCAACCCCUGCUACUGAUUCUUGGAGCAGAGGCAAAAGGGGCAGGGCAUGGACUGAUACACUUUAGAGUUGCAUAGCUUUGAGUUAAAAUUCUGGUUCUGUCACUGUUUUUUUUUUUUUUUUUUUUUUUUUUCAGAGACAGGGUCCUUCUCUGUCACCGAAGCUGGAGUGCAAUGGCGCAUUCAUAGCUCACUGCAUCCUUCAACUCCUGGACUCAAGUGAUCUUCCUGCAUCAGCCUCCCAAGUAGCUGGGAUUACAGACAUCUGCCACCACACCUGGCUCAUUUUUUAAUUGUUAUUUUUUGUAGAGAUGGGGCCUUGGUGUUUCUCAGGCUGGUCUCAAAUUUCUGGUCUCAACCAAUCCUCCUGCCUGGGCCUCCCAAAAUGCUGGGAUUACAGGUGUGAGCCACUGUGUUCAGCCUCUGUCACUGUCUUGUAAAGUGACUCUGCAAAUUAGUCACCUGUCUUUCCCUGUUUUCUUAUCUAUAAUUUGGGAAUUAUGUAGGCACCCCUCUCAGAGAAAUGAGUAAAAUAACAGAUAUAUAUAUAUUCACAUGGUACAAAAUAGGUGUUUAAUAAAUCCCAAUUUGUUGACCAAGUGCCGUGGCUCAUGCCUGUAAUCCCACCACUUUGGGAGUCCAAAGCAGAUAAAUCACUUGAGGUCAGGAGUUCAAGACCAGCCUGGCCAACAUGACAAAACCCCGUCUCUACUUAAAAUACAAAAAUUAGCUGGGUGUGAUGGUGCAUGCCUGUAAUCCCAGCUACUCAGGAGGCUGAGGCAUGAGAAUCUUUGAACCUGAGGGGUGGAGGUUGCAGUGAGCCGAGAUCGCACCACUGUGCUCCAGCCUGGGUGACAGUGAGACUCUGUCUCAAAAAAAAAAAAAAAAAAAAGAAAAGAAAAGAAAAAAAAAUCCCAAUUGGCUGCUACCAUCCCAGGUAGUAUCAGCGUGUCCAAUUACUGAAAUAUAAAUGUUGUAUAACAUUUAAAGAUACAUGAAAACACUCGGAAAAAAAAAUUUAAGAAAUUGCCUACUGUUUUCUUAGAUAUUUGAGUGAGACCCAAGGGCUAACAUUUAUUAUCCAUCAUUCAGUACAAUUUGAAACAAAACAAUGGGAGCCUGUGGGUCAUUAAUUUGGUUCAAGGGGUUAUCGUGCCCAAGUCUAACUCAGUGUUCUUCACAGCUUUGCCCAACACUGGGUUUUCCCCUGCACUCUCCACCCCACGCCCCCUGUCAACAUGACUGAUGAAUUCAAUAUCCCCCUCUUUCCAGCUGACGAGUCAUUGAGCUGACUCCAAUCAGCAGGAUCCCCUGGUCGCCUGACUCAGGCCUCCCCAGUCAGAGGUAGAGUCUGCGGUGGACAGACAGACAGGUCUGGAGAGGCUGCAACCCUGGUUACCAUCUGGUCGGCUGGACCAUGAAUGUUUCAAGGGCAAGGCCAUGUCUGAUUCAAUUCCACAUCCACAGCACGUAAAGCAACGUCUGGCAGAGCAAAGAACUCACCCAUCAAUUGAAUGACAUCAUGGCCAAUCUACGAGUUCUGGCUUACUUCUCAUGCUAUUAUCACAUCUGCCAAGUUUAGACAGCAUCAACUGACUUCCCACCAAGUGAGAGGACACUCUUGGACUGCACUUUCUUCCCCUCUCCUUCCACCUUUCUUGACUCCUGAUGGCCAACAUCAUUUUUAUAUUUUCAGUGUUUAUACCAAUUACAUCCUGUACUAUCGUUAUUACUAAACCUUAAUUGUUUCGCCUAUAGGUUGAUUCUAAAUAUUCCAAAGAAGCAUAUCAAAUAUUGUAAUUGGGCAAGCAAUAUUUACUACAGAAUCUAAGUAUGUGAUUGAACCCAUGGAGAAGAAAUGAUAACUCUAAGCCAUGGGCAUAAAGGGC
rnacentral:lncRNA from 10 species